rnacentral:rRNA from 1 species
CAGUAGCGUAUAUUAAAGUUGUUGCGGUUAAAAAGCUCGUAGUUGAAGGAUGGUGGGUAUGUCCGUAGGUGUGCUUCACUGUACGCCUCAUGGAUAUCCCUCUAUGGGUAAAUCUUGCGUAGUGACUUGAUUGUAUUACGCGUUUUUUGCCUCCGUUACUUUGAGGAAAUUAGAGUGUUUCAAGCAAUCUUCUGUUGUGUAUAUAGUAGCAUGGAAUAACAAUAGACAACUUCAUUGUUGCUUGUUGGUUCGAAAUAAUGGAGUGAUGGUGGAUAGAAACAGUUGGGGGCACUCGUACUUGACAGUCAGAGGUGGAAUUCUUGGAUUUGUCAAAGACGUCCUACUGCGAAAGCAUUUGCCACGGAUGUUUNCAUUGA